rnacentral:ncRNA from 1 species
CGCUAGGGGUGCUGGCGCUUUGCGCCGGCUGAGAGAGGCCCUUGGAACCUGUCCGGAUAAUACCGGCGUAGGGAAGCGGAUGA